UACAACAAAAAGGAGAGUAGCCCUACAACACGGAGAAUAGCACUACAACAAGAAGAAUAGCCCUACAACACGAAGAAUAGCCCUACAACACAGGAGAAUAGCCCUACAACACAGGAGAGUAGCCCUACAACACAGGAGUGUAGCCACAACACAGGAUGUAGCCUACACACAAGGAGAAUAGCACUACAACAGGAGUAUAGCCCUACAAAGGAGUAUAGCCCUACAACAUAGGAGUAAGCCCUACAACAAAGGAGUAUAGCCCUACAACACAGGAGUAAUGAAGCCCUACAACACGGAAUAUAGAAGCCUACAACACAGGAAUAUACCCUACAACACAGAGAGUAGCCCUACAAUAUAGGAGUAUAGAACCGACAACACAGGAGAAUAGCCUACAACACAGGAGUAGAGCCUACAACACAGGAGAAUAAACUACAACACAGGAGAUAAGAAGCCUUACAACAUAGGAUAUAAGCCACAACAUAGGAGUAUAGCCCUACAACAUAGGAGUAUAGCCCUACAAACACAGGAGUAUAAGCCCUACAGCAUAGGAGUAUAGCCCCUACAACAUAGGAGUAUAGCCCUACACACAGGAUAAGAAGCCUACAACAUAGGAGUAUAGCCCUACAACACAGGAGUAUAGAAGCCUUACAACAUAGGAGUAUAGCCCUACAACAUAGGAGUAUAGCCCUACAACACAGGAGAAUAGCCCUACAACACAGGAGUAUAGCCCUUCAACACAGCAUGGGGAGAAAGCUUCUCUCUCACAAAUAUUCAGUAUGGUAAAGAUAUUAUUUUAGUGGAAAAACACCUUUGAUUAAAAUAUUAUAAUGUUGGUAUAUAUUUAGGAUAAAAAGGAUUGCAAUAAGAUAAGUGCAAUAAGAAAGAUUGACGAUAAACACAUUUUACAGAUUUCUGAAUGCUUAGUUUGCUUCUAUCUAGACUCAGGAUCUGCAUAUUUUAAUAAAUGUAAGGAAACUAUGACCUCGGCUGAUGUAAUGUAUGUUUCUACUCAACUUUAUUCAAUGAAUUUCAGCCCAUGAUUCUGUUACGUUUCCCUCCAGUUGCACAUCUCCUCUGAAUGGUUCUGCUUUCAGGCAUGGUUACA
rnacentral:lncRNA from 1 species